rnacentral:rRNA from 1 species
UACGAAGGGGGCUAGCGUUGUUCGGAUUUACUGGGCGUAAAGCGCGUGUAGGCGGGUCGUUAAGUUGGGGGUGAAAUCCCGGAGCUCAACUCCGGAACUGCCUCCAAAACUGGCGACCUGGAGCAGAUGAGAGGCGAGUGGAAUUCCGAGUGUAGAGGUGAAAUUCGUAGAUAUUCGGAGGAACACCAGUGGCGAAGGCGACUCGCUGGCAUCUUGCUUACGCUGAGACGCGAAAGCGUGGGGAGCAAACAGG